UUCCUACGGGGUGCAGCAGGCGCGCAAACUUUACAAUGCGAGCAAUCGUGAUAAGGAAACCCUGAGUGCCUGUCGAUGCAGGCUGUUCAUAUAUCUAAAUCAUAUGUGAAGAAAGGGCAGGGCAAGACCGGUGCCAGCCGCCGCGGUAAUACCGGCUGCUCGAGUGAUGGCCACUAUUACUGGGUUUAAAGCGUCCGUAGCUUGACUGUUAGGUCUCUUGGGAAAUCUUCGCGCUCAACGUGAAGGCGUCUAAGAGAUACCGGCAGUCUUGGAACUGGGAGAGGUAAGCCGUACUUCGGGGGUAGGAGUGAAAUCUUGUAAUCCUCGAGGGACGACCUAUGGCGAAGGCAGUUUACCAGAACAGCUUCGACAGUGAGGGACGAAAGCUGGGGGAGCAAACGGGAUUAGAUACCCCGGUAGUCCCAGCCGUAAACAAUGUGCGUUAGGUGUGUCGGUAACCACGUGUUACUGAUGCGCCGAAGAGAAAUCGUGAAACGCACCACCUGGGAAGUACGGUCGCAAGGCUGAAACUUAAAGGAAUUGGCGGGGGAGCACCACAACAGGUGGAGCCUGCGGUUUAAUUGGAUUCAACGCCGGACAUCUCACCGGAUAAGACAGCUGAAUGAUUGUCAAUCUGAAGGUUUUACAUGACUAGCUGAGAGGANGUGC
rnacentral:rRNA from 1 species